UCUUCCAUCUUUGAGACUCCUACCCUGAGCCUGUAGGGUGCAGGACCCUGAAGGAGGAUUUGGAUGAAAAGGAGCCUGAAAUCCAAAGGACUUGCAAUCUCCUAAAUUAACAAAGGAAACAAGAAACUGGUAUGCCAGGAAAAUACACUUAUCUUUAAGAUUCCCAAGUCACCUUUAACUAAUUUUGCACAGGUCAAAAUAUAGCUUGCAUUCUAGCUUAAUAAAAGAGGAAAGAAUUUUCUUUCCUUUCCGUUC
rnacentral:lncRNA from 1 species